GACGAACGCUGCGGCGUGCCUAAUACAUGCAAGUCGAACGAGAGCGACCGGUGCUUGCACUGGUCAAUCUAGUGGCGAACGGGUGAGUAACACGUGGGUAACCUGCCCAUCAGAGGGGGAUAACAUUCGGAAACGGAUGCUAAAACCGCAUAGGUCUUCGAACCGCAUGGUUUGAAGAGGAAAAAGGCGCAAGCUUCUGCUGAUGGAUGGACCCGCGGUGCAUUAGCAUAGUUGGUGAGGUAACGGCUCACCAAGGCCGUGAUGCAUAGCCGACCUGAGAGGGUGAUCGGCCACAUUGGGACUGAGACACGGCCAAACUCCUACGGGAGGCAGCAGUAGGGAAUCUUCCGCAAUGGACGCAAGUACUGACUGGAGCAACGCCGCGUGAGUGAAGUAAGGUUUCGGGAUCGUAAAACUUCUGUUGUUAGAGACGGACAAGUGCUAGUAGUAAUCUGUUAGCGCCUUG
rnacentral:rRNA from 1 species